rnacentral:rRNA from 1 species
UAAACGAGUGAAAUCAAACAUCUAAGCGGGAAGCCUCCUCCAAGAUGAAUUUUCCCAUUCUUCGUGAAGUAAGAUUCCUUGUAGACGACAAGGUUGAUAGGCUAGAGGUGGAAGCGUAGUGAUACGUUGAGCUGACUAGUACUAAUAGAUCGAGGAUUUAACUUA